rnacentral:lncRNA from 1 species
CGACACGUGUGUAGUUAUUGAGGAAUAAUAUAUAGUUACUAGUUAAGGGACCCGCGCGAUGCUGCGAGUAGUUAUUUUAAAAUUUAAUUUUGAAAAUUAGUUAUAAAAAUUAAUUUCAGAAUUUAAAUAAUGCAAUAAAUAUAUCAAAAAAUUUUAGUAGACAUAGUAGUCCCCCAUAGUAGGUAUCGUAGUCCCCCAGUAGUUAGUAAAUGAGAAGAGAAAUCAUUGUUUGUGAUUCUUGCAAUUAAUUUUCGUUAAAUAUAAAAUUAACUUAAACUGCAUCAAUUUUAUUUUAUUUUUUAAUGUAGAAUUUAUAUGUGAAUGCUCAAUAUUAUAAAAUUAAUAUUUAAAUCAAAUACCAGUAGUCUAACUUAUUGAACAUUUAUUUAUAUAUUUUACAUUUUAUAAAAAUAAAUAGUAAAUUAUAUAAUAAAUUAUUAUAUAAUAAUAUAUCUAUAUACAAAUAAAAUACUAUAUAUAAUAAAUAAAUAUAUAU